AUGCAGAGAUCAUUAUCCAUGUGUCUGAAUUGCUUAUCUAGGUUCUGCACUAAUUUGCUUGCUUUAGUUAACUUUGUAAUUUGUAGUCAACAUGUCCUCAGAGUUAUUCAUCCCUCUUAUAUUCAUAUAGAAAAUUGUUCCCCAACUCCAUUUGAAAUAAGAUGCCUUCAAAGUGAAGUAGAUACUUUUGGGAACGUCUCCAGAAGAUUUCUCCAGCCCACCUCUGCUGAGAAGGCAAUGAAGAAUGCCCCAACCUCCAGGACACAGAUAUCUGUCUCAAACCCAAGCUUCAGUACUUUGAAGCUCUAUGGCCCUUACCAGUUUUUCACAUAUUUUACACCUGGCAGAUUUCUACUUUGUGAGUCACACAGGUGUGUAUAAGGCUUACUAUCUAUGGCAUAUUCCGACCCUCAGCUAGGACCCGAAGCACCCCCAUUAUACAGGGACACUCCUUGCAGCAUUUGAAUGACUGACUUCUGCAGUACAUUUCCUGGUGUAGAAACAUGAGCCAUAAGCAUUCCAUGACCUCAUUAUCUAGUCAUCUGCGCCAGGUCAAUUGAUUUGGAUGGUAUCAGUUCCAUGGAUCCUUCCCUGGAGGGCAGUGAGGCAGAAUCUCACUGAACCUCUUUUGACACAAAACAAAACAAAGAAGCACAGAAACACUGUGUUUCCUCAUGGAAAUAUGUAAGUCCGAACAUGUGCCCAUCCUUUCCUGGACAUGUGACUCCUUCCAUAUGAGCAUGGUGGCCUUUCCUUGACCUAAACUCCGGGAUAUACAUGACUCCUGAUAUGGAGGAAAGAGUACCUAAACACCAUCUGAGACAUAGCAUAUUUUGGUGGAAAUGUUGUUGGAUAGGCAAAGACUUUCUUUUUCAAGAUAGGGCUUACUCUGUGUAACCCUGGUUGUCCUGGAACUCACUUUGUAGUCCAGGCUGACCUUGAAAUCGCAAAGAUCUGCCUGCCUCAGGCAAGGACAAUUCAUUUCUAGGUUGUUCCUACACUCCAAGUGUUUUUUGGAGUCACUUUCUCUGGGGUCCUCAUUGUUGAGCCUUCUCACCAUUUAACCUGUUGCAAUCAAACUCUGGACUUGAUCCCAGAACUACAAAAUGCAAUCUUGGCCUCUAGUUGUCUAUCAUGUGCCCAAGGGGCUGGUUUGCUAUGACUAGUCCAUCUACCAUCCAUCUGUCGGCUUUAAAACACCUCCCUUAUUUGUCCCAGGAAUGCAAUUAGGCAAGUUAUUUAGCAUUGUUCCUUCAGCAAUCUUACUCAAGGUUUACACCACCAUAGCAAGAGUUAGUAGGUAAAGGCUUCAUCAGGUGAAAUGGAUGAGUGAAGUGGUUUGUAUCUAGGCUUAGUUUUAUGCCUUAGCAUUUGUCUCCUCCUGUAAAGAGAGUACAAAUUGCUAUCCUGCCAUCUUCAACACUGUAUUGAAUUACCAAUACAAUCAGAAUCAGCACUUCUGGAAAGUGCUGAUGGCCUAUUUUGUACUUGUUUGUGUUAAUCAAUGUUAAUUAAAAAGCACGCACAGGGGUUAAUGAGUUAUAAUGGGCUUAAUUAAGCUUGACAGUAACAAAUGGCAUAACCUCAAUGUUAUGGGCCACUUAGAAGAACAAAAAGGGACAAAAUAGGCCAGAAAAUCAUCAUGUAGAAAAUUCACAAAUAUAUACACUGGUCACCUGAAGAAAGAGAAUGGUGUAAUAAGUUUAUUAGUUUUGCUAAUUGUCAAGUUGACUACUUACAAAGCUGACAUCACUGGGAGUAUAGAGAAUUGCAAGACCCAUUCUUUAUCCCUAAAGGCUUUGCAAUCUUAUUGGAAGAGAGAUACAGAAAGACAGCUUUUAAAUAUACCAUUGAAGCUGGGGAGGCUGAGGCAAGAGGAGUGAGAGUUCCAGGCCAACUUGCCUCAAAAGAAAUUAUACUUUGGUUCCAGCAAGUCACAAAUGAGCCAGGCCAACUAUGCAACACAGCAUGCAGAGGAGGGAGUGAUCACUGCUAGUGGAUGCAGUGACAGGACCAGGAAGUUAAAGCCCAAGCAAAUGACUGUGGGGGAAGAGAGAGUGUCAGGUAUAGAGAUGGCAGUGCACAACACAUGCUCAGAGAGCACCCAUGCUUCCACAAAUCUGCUGCAUUGACUGAUGUUCCGAAACUGGGUGAGGAAAGAGGUUUCCAAGGUCACUUUGCCUUGGUGUCUUCAAGAACAAAUGAACAAUGACCAUGGGGACUCUGAGAAUUCUGCUGUAAUCCUAAAGAAAUCUGAGUAGGGCCUUUGCUUGCCAGUGCUUUUCUGUUACUGAAUUGUUCUUUAUGUGACCAAUAAUACACACCUAAAAUCCUAGGAGCUUCAGCAAUGGCUAUUGGUCAGUGUGCUAGUUCUAUUGGUCUGAAUGGGGUCAGUCAUUCUUAUCCCCCUUUGGUCACAUGUGAUCUGUGCCUAAUUUGCUUGGGACUUGCUGGUCUUGGGUAACCUUCACAAGCCUGGUGUGCUUGACUGGUUACUGGCUUCAUGGCUGGGUUGGACUGAGUCAUUCAGCAGGAUACCCUGGACUUGGCCACAUAAUAGUAGCCAGGACCAUGGGACUUGAGUUUUGAAGCAUGCAUGGCUUCUUGAGGCCAAAGUUUGAAGAUCUCAGGAAGUCAACCCUGCUGCAUUCUGUGAGCCAAAGAAAGUUCCACAGCCAGUUCUGAAGACCUGCAGUGGCAGAGUUCACCUCCAAUGAAGAGGCACAGCAGAAGGACACUUUGAGGCAUGCCUGCUGCACAAGAGCAAAAUUAUAACUAUUUUUAUAACUGGUGCUGGGCCGGGUGGUGGUGGUGCACGCCUUUAGUCCCAGCACUUGGGAGGCAGAGGCAGGCAAAUCUCUGUGAGUUUGAGACCAGCUUGGUCUAUAAGGGCAAGUUCCAGGACAGCCUCAGAAGCCACAGAGAAACCCUGUCUUGGAAAAUCUAAAAACAAACAAACAAGCAAACAAAAACAAAAACCAAACAACAAUAACAACAAAACUGGUGCUGGAAAUAGAACCCAGGCUAUUGACCUGCUAAGCAAUGGUCUACCAUGACCUAUAUCCUCCGUGUGGUUAUUUUUAAAACCUUCACAUUCUAUUUCAGGUAAAGAGGCUUUCUCACUGAUUAAGAAGUGAGAACUUCUCAGAACUCAAAACAUUUUUCUAAGAUAUUGCUUUUGUUUCAGAAGUUCCUUUCUUACCCAUCUUGGCAGUUCAAAUUCUGUCUCUUCUGCAAGGCCUGUCUUCAGAAAGCCUGAGUCCAUGAGACUCUUCCCUGGCCUUUUGAUGGGGGAAAAUGUGUUUUCUUGCCCUUAAGGAGGUGAGAUGCUGCCACCAACUCUAUGAAGUGUAUCGAUUCUGAACCAUUUGUGACCAUAGGUAUAGUUUUAUGCAAUUGAAAACAAUCUUUUUCAUCUUAGUAUAUAAAAUGACUGUAAUUUAGGGUGAUCACUUCUAUUAAAUUGAAUCUUCUGUGAUUUCUUCAUUCACUUUGCUAUAAAAGAAAACUGGUAUUCAGGACAACCUGCUUAUAGCUUUACUGAAAUUACUAAGCAUGACUUUUUUGUGAUUAUUUUUACAGUUACCUUGUCGCCUAGGUUUUCUUUCAGACUCCAAGGUACACAUUUCAAAUUACCUUUCCUUUUAACAUUUAGUAAGUCUGGGGAGUCUAACCACACCUUUAAAUUUCAUAAGUUAGAAAAUAAAAACCAUGCUGGAUUUGCA
rnacentral:lncRNA from 1 species